AAGCUUAACAGUAUUCCUAUUUAAUUUUUUUUAAAAUAUGCAAUUUUUCACGUCGUACAUGUAACAGACGGAAUGAAUAUUUUUUCAUCUAGAACAAUUAAUAAUUAUAUCGGAUGGCACAAACAAUAUAUGUAUUCUCGGAAUGGUCUCCCCAAUAAUACUAUCUUCCAACUAUCGACUUGCUAAUCAAUCCAAUUUUAAAGACCUUGCGCAAUAUUUAAAGAAGUUACUUGUAAUCUUAUGCAACAUAUAUGUAACUCUAUGCAACUUUGUAAUAUCUACAUUGUCCAUGUGUUUGCCCUUGCUUUUAAGAUCUGUGUUAUUUUCAAUGGUCAGUUCAUUUGACAUGACUUUGUUUGUUAAUCUGCAUUAAAGUUUGAAUAUCC
rnacentral:sRNA from 1 species